UGAGCAAUCUGCCCUUCUCUUUGGAAUAAGCGUUGGAAACGACGUCUAAUGCCGAAUACGACCUCCUUUCGCAUGAUCGGAGGUGGAAAGCUCCGGCGGAGAAGGAUGAGCUCGCGGCCUAUCAGCUAGUUGGUGUGGGUAAUGGCCCACCAAGGCGACGACGGGUAGCCGGCCUGAGAGGGUGACCGGCCACACUGGGACUGAGACACGGCCCAGACUCCUACGGGAGCAGCAGG
rnacentral:rRNA from 1 species